AAAUUGAAGAGUUUGAUCAUGGCUCAGAUUGAACGCUGGCGGCAGGCCUAACACAUGCAAGUCGAACGGUAACAGAAAGCAGCUUGCUGCUUUGCUGACGAGUGGCGGACGGGUGAGUAAUGUCUGGGAAACUGCCCGAUGGAGGGGGAUAACUACUGGAAACGGUAGCUAAUACCGCAUAACGUCGCAAGACCAAAGAGGGGGACCUUMGGGCCUCUUGCCAUCGGAUGUGCCCAGAUGGGAUUAGCUAGUAGGUGGGGUAAAGGCUCACCUAGGCGACGAUCCCUAGCUGGUCUGAGAGGAUGACCAGCCACACUGGAACUGAGACACGGUCCAGACUCCUACGGGAGGCAGCAGUGGGGAAUAUUGCACAAUGGGCGCAAGCCUGAUGCAGCCAUGCCGCGUGUAUGAAGAAGGCCUUCGGGUUGUAAAGUACUUUCAGCGGGGAGGAAGGGAGUAAAGUUAAUACCUUUGCUCAUUGACGUUACCCGCAGAAGAAGCACCGGCUAACUCCGUGCCAGCAGCCGCGGUAAUACGGAGGGUGCAAGCGUUAAUCGGAAUUACUGGGCGUAAAGCGCACGCAGGCGGUUUGUUAAGUCAGAUGUGAAAUCCCCGGGCUCAACCUGGGAACUGCAUCUGAUACUGGCAAGCUUGAGUCUCGUAGAGGGGGGUAGAAUUCCAGGUGUAGCGGUGAAAUGCGUAGAGAUCUGGAGGAAUACCGGUGGCGAAGGCGGCCCCCUGGACGAAGACUGACGCUCAGGUGCGAAAGCGUGGGGAGCAAACAGGAUUAGAUACCCUGGUAGUCCACGCCGUAAACGAUGUCGACUUGGAGGUUGUGCCCUUGAGGCGUGGCUUCCGGAGCUAACGCGUUAAGUCGACCGCCUGGGGAGUACGGCCGCAAGGUUAAAACUCAAAUGAAUUGACGGGGGCCCGCACAAGCGGUGGAGCAUGUGGUUUAAUUCGAUGCAACGCGAAGAACCUUACCUGGUCUUGACAUCCACGGAAGUUUUCAGAGAUGAGAAUGUGCCUUCGGGAACCGUGAGACAGGUGCUGCAUGGCUGUCGUCAGCUCGUGUUGUGAAAUGUUGGGUUAAGUCCCGCAACGAGCGCAACCCUUAUCCUUUGUUGCCAGCGGUCCGGCCGGGAACUCAAAGGAGACUGCCAGUGAUAAACUGGAGGAAGGUGGGGAUGACGUCAAGUCAUCAUGGCCCUUACGACCAGGGCUACACACGUGCUACAAUGGCGCAUACAAAGAGAAGCGACCUCGCGAGAGCAAGCGGACCUCAUAAAGUGCGUCGUAGUCCGGAUUGGAGUCUGCAACUCGACUCCAUGAAGUCGGAAUCGCUAGUAAUCGUGGAUUACCACUUUGUGAUUCAUGACUGGGGUGAAGUCGUAACAAGGUAACCGUAGGGGAACCUGCGGUUGGAUCACCUCCUUACCUUAAAGAAGC
rnacentral:rRNA from 1 species